CUCUCUGCCUGCUGCCUGCAGAUCAGGAUGUAAAGCCCUCAACUAUCGUUCCAGCACCGUGCCUGUCUGCUUCCCACCAUCCAUGGACUAACUAACACUCUAAAACAAGACUCUUGCUGUGCAGGCCUGGCUGGCCUAGAACUCUUAAACCUCCCAGUCAUGGAGAUCCCCCAGCCUCUGUUUCCCGAGUGCUGCCAAACUGGUUCUUAGAAGGAGCAAGGAAAAUCAGAAAGGUGGCACAUGCUUGAAAUUCUAGUCCUCGGAUGGCAGAAGCAGGGGAAUCGCUUGAAUCCAGGAGUUCCCGGCCAACCUGGACAACAUAGACUCGGGUCUCCAAAACAAGAUAAAAAAAAAACCUCGUAAACCAAACAAACAAAAAAUACAGCCGAUCAGUAGGAACACAUUCCCUGUCAUGGUGAACUCUGUUAUGCUGGUCUAUGGGCUCCAGCUUCAGUCAGGUUUCCUCGCCGAGAAUCCUUCCAACCCAAAUCCCAACAAUAAAGGAGGACGAGGGCUCAGACACUUGGCGUGAUGUUUCAGGAUCUUUUGAGGUAGCAGGAUCCACCAAAAACUUGGCCACGCCUUCUGGUAGCCACCCAAAUAAAAGGACAUGCAAGAGGAAAGCGUUUGUUUUUUGCCUGCUUGCCCUCUUUCUCGAUGGAAGGCUCAUUUAUCCUGUCUCCGAUACUAAGAUACGAAGAAGUAGUAUUAGAACCAAUUUCUUUGGGAUUCUGAUGGAUACUGAAGACCAACAGCUCUCCAGGAAGCCCCUAGGCCUCCAGCACUGGUUUGGAACUGCUAAGGCAUCCAGUCUUGUGCACUGAGCAGCUAGUCCAUUGUGGCCUUUCCAUCGGGAGACAGCCAUUGCUGGACUCCCCGGAGCACUGGCUGUUAGCACUCCAUACAGUCUCUAUCCAGUCUCUUCUUUUAGAGAGGCCUGACUAACACACUAUCCUUUCUCCAUAACCUGUGUACCUGUUCCACUUGUCUGAAGACCCGAAGCAGGUUUCCUCGAAGGACACCUUGAAGCUCUCGUUCAUCCCAACCGCGACUCAGCAACUCCUCUAUCAGCACUGGCGCCCAUGCCUCCCACAGCUCCUUCUUCCCCCGAAUACUACCACGUCCUCUACAAAGGGCAUGCGCAAGCCCAGAUGGCCUGGCAUGGAGAGACAUACUGCCUGAUUGGAGGCUACCGUGUCUACGGAGAUGCGCCGCUUCCCACACCUGCAAAGGCUGAGCAAGAGGAGAAGUCAUCGUCCAGCGGGGCUCCUAAGAGACAUCGAGUUCAGGAAGAGUCAGAUCAAGAUCUAGGCUGUCCCGGUGCAAAAAUUCCUCGCCUGAAAUUGAAGCUUGGUGACAAAUGGUAGCCACAGAGAGGACAAGCUGGUAGCUGCCUUGGAAGGCUGAGCCCUCUUCAGCAAUGCCCUCCACUGACCACCAAUGUAGACAGAACCAUGGCUGCUCUGCCAGUGCAGAGCCUGGUGCAACCAGUGUUCCUAACCACUGAGCAUCUCUAGCUCCUGGGCUUUUUAAACUUUGAGUUUGGAAGAUUGAACUCAGGUCCUCAGGCCUGUAUGGCAAGGGUUUCACUGACUGAGCAAGCUAUCCCCCCUCAUCCCCAACUCUUCAUUUUUUCUUGGGAGUCAUGAGCCCAUGUACCACAGGCUGGUUAUAUCUUGAAAUGCCCAUUCUUCCUGACUCUACCUCACAAGUGCUGGAGUCGCAGGACUCUCCAAGACUGGUUGUAUGUAGUGUUGGGGGCAGGGGAUCAAAUCCAGGGCUUCCUGCAUGCUGGGCAAGCCCUCUCUACCAGCUGAGCUACAUCAACAGCCCAGUAUUAGCUCUUAAUAUUACCUGUAAUUAUUGCAGUUGUUAUUGAUGUCUGCUCAGGGCCCAGGAGCAGGAUAGAAUGGAUGCCUAAGUAGUUAGUACCUGGUAGAGAGGAACUUCCUGGGGUCUGGCGAAUACCACAUGUAAGGGAGUCCAACCAUUGGAGGCCCAUGACUAUUAUAUGUCCUGGCAGUCUGGCCUUUGUCCAAACAAGAAUGAAAGUUAUUCACCAUCCAGUCACAUUCCCUUCUUAGGGAUCGAAGGAAUUCUUUGAGGGAUCAUAAGAGUGGGAGUCAGUGGUUCAGUUUGUGGAUUGAGAUAAAAUACUAAGAAAAUCCCCAAAAUUCACUUUCCCAAAGCCAGACCCACCCAUUGGAUUCAUCUUGUGCUGAGUCCAACCGUCUGGGUUAGACAGGCCACUGCCAGCUUCCUUGAGCAAAUGGUGGCCGAAAUGCCUAGUUCCACAAACCACCAGUGCAGGAAGCCUGUGUUAACCUACUCUACUUCAGAGAAGGACACUCACAUCUGUUUCUAUGUCCAAAGCAUUUACUUCUAGGAAAUAUUUGCCCCUUCACAAGUGGAGGGACUUCCAGGGCACCAGAAUGAUAUCUGAGAGGACUGGGUGGGUAUCCUCUAAAAGUCACACAAUAAGGCCUAAUAAGGUCGCAACAAUGGCGAGGCUUGGGACAAUGUGGGGAGAGGAUUUCGAGUGUGAGAACUUGAGUAUAUGAUAUUCUGGAGUCUCCGGUUGGUUCUUUUCUGGAUGCUGUUUCUGAGGUCGCAGGGCUGAGUGGCAAGCACUGUCCAGCUGCUCCUCUGGGAUCAUGUCUUCCAGGGGACUUUGCCAUUUGCUUUUGUCUCGGACCUGGAGAUGACAGUUGGUGGUCAGCGGCUCUCCCAGGUCUCCCAUAGCUCAUUAGGUAUGUGAGCACCCGUUCAGGCACUUACACCUCUCUAUUACCCCCAUCUCGGCAUACCUGCUCCACUUGUCGGAAGACCCGAAGCAGGUUUCCUCGAAGGAUGCCUUGGAGUUCCUGUUCAUUCCAGCCUCGUCUCAGCAACUCCUCUAUGAGCACUGGGUAUGUAGACACAUCCUCCAGGCCCUGAGGGAACCUGUUGUAAGCACCAGCAGGCGAAUCUCAGACCUGGUAUCCUAACUCAGCCAGGUGGUGGUGGUAUACGCCUUUCACCCCAGCACUUGGGAGGCAGAAGCAAGCGGAUCUCUGUCCUGUCUACAAGACAGCCAGGGCUACACAGAGAAACCUUGCCUUUUUUUGUUUGUUUGUUUUUCGAGACAGGGUUUCUCUGUGUAGUCCUGGCUGUCCGGGAACUCGCUCUGUAGACCAGGCUGGUCUCCAAAACUCAGAAAUCUGCCUCCCUCUGCCUCCCAAAUGCUGGGAUUAAAAGCGUGCGCCACCACUGCCCGCCCAAGAAAUCUUGUCUUGAAAAAUAAAACCAGAAACAAAUAAA
rnacentral:lncRNA from 1 species